rnacentral:lncRNA from 1 species
UUGAAAUAAAAAUAGUGAAGCCCGAUUUUUUUCAUUUUCAAUGUUUGUUGAAUGUAUUGUUAUUUUCAUAUACAUAGAGGAAGACUUACCUAUGUUACUUUUGCUAAUUGCAUAUUUCAUUUUAUCAUCGAUGUAACAUGUUUCACGAGGUUGAAUAAGCUUGUCGUUCCGUUAUAUUUCUAUUGAUUGUAGUAUCUUGAGAUUGUCCUGACAAAAUAUUAAAA